rnacentral:lncRNA from 13 species
GCUGCUUGGGCCCAGGGGUGCAGGGCCCUCUCCUCAAGGUCUUAAUGUGGGGGUGGAGGGUUUGUGCCCACCCUUUCUUCUCAGGGAAGCCCAGCAGGGCUGAUGGCUCUGCACAUAGCCGGUGGGGCCAGUGUGGCACCAGCUGGGACUCGCUGCCUGAUCCCAGGGUCCCCUGCGGCCAGCCUGGGCAGGUCAGGAAGCGUGGUGGCCACGAAGGCUUCAGGAACCAGAAGCAGGCCCCAUGCUGUCUUCCUCGGUCCUGACCCUUCCCUAGGAUCCCCUCUGCCCGACCUCCUCCACCCCUUCACGGGGGCUCUGUCAGCCUGUGGCUGUCAUCCUGGGUGCUUGUGCCCACCGAUCCCAUUGCAAACUGCAAAACUCAAGGGCCUCCAGUCCAAGCCCUUCUCUAUCCUCAGCCUGGAGGCUCCAAGUGGCUGGAGCCUUCUGCAGCCACGGGAGUGCUCCUGGCGGUCCUCUCCUGGGAACCGUCCUUCCUCCUCAGCCCUCCUUCUCCCUCCCCAAGGUCUCUCCUUCAUGGGGUCAAGGAGGGAGGAUUCAUCCCCGGGAGUCUCCAUGGCCGGGAAGAUGUGGCCUCUUUUCUCCCAGGAUCCUCAUCAACGCCUUCCCCACCCAAGCUUGGCUGAUUUUCCCGUGUGUCAAUCCCAUCUUCGCAGGGGCUAUGGAGUGGGGCUGGGGGUGAGGAGUUGGCAUCAUCUGAUUGGCCGGCCUGGUAGAGGUUGGAGGGCCAGAAAUGUGAUUGACAGAGGGACCCAGCAGUGUCCCAGGAGUGGGGAGGGCAGGUCCCCAGGGCAGGUGUCGGAGUCCCCAGGGCUGUCCCACAGGAGGCCCCAGCCAGGAUUCCCUGGGCAUGGCCCACUCCCCUCCACUGUCUCAGGAAGGCCCCUCCCCAUCUGGCAGGUCAGACAGGCUACUUGGGGCUGUGCUAGAAACUCUUCCAAAAGUCCCUGGAGGCCAGAUCUGGAAAUGCUUCCCGAGGAAAUCUUCAAGCCCUGGCUGGCAGCCGGGGAGGGAGGAGUUCCCAG